CACGGGGGGAGCAAGCGUUGUUCGGAAUCACUGGGCGUAAAGGGCGUGUAGGCGGUCAAGUAAGUGGAAUGUGAAAGCCCCCGGCUUACCCGGGGAUCUGCAUCCCAAACUGCUUGGCUUGAGUACGGGAGAGGAUAGGGGAAUUCCUGGUGUAGCGGUGAAAUGCGUAGAUAAUCAGGAGGAACACCGGUGGCGAAGGCGCCUAUCUGGCCCGAUACUGACGCUGAGGCGUGAAAGCUAGGGGAGCAAA
rnacentral:rRNA from 1 species